CUAAUUGCAUAUGCUAUUAAUCCAAUGAGGAGUAAACCGGCACCUGUCGAGGAAAAAGACGACAAGAAAUGCGAUGACAAAAAAGGAGAUGAAAAGAUGGAAUAAACUGGCGAUCGUCGUUAAUAAAACAAGAGUACGUAAAGACUGUUACCACAUUUAUAAAGUUUUAUUUUGUUCUUCGUUAUAUAAUCUAGAUUUGAUCUCUAAACAGUAUUAAACCGAACACUUUAUGAUUGUGUCUGUGUACAUAAUCUUUUGCCAUGAACAAACUUGAAUCUUGGCAUCUAUGCUACAGUUUGUGAAUGUAUUUUACUUGCCUUUAUAAGGCAACAACAUUACACACUGACUUUAACACAGCAUUUUGAAUAGAAUAGUUUUAAUCGUA